rnacentral:lncRNA from 1 species
ACCUUCUCCUUGAUUUUGCCAUUUCCCUAUACUUGUGGCCAUCAGAAAUCUUGAAGAUGCCAUUAGAGACCAAGGUAAGCCUCAAUCCCACCUCCUCCCUCUAUUUUUCUUCUUCCCAUGACCCUGUGUACCAUCACCAGCCAUCAAUUUCACUAAAAAAUCAUGAAGAAAGAAAUCACUAUUUUUUUAGUACUUCUCACCCCUUUUUUGGCCAUCGAUGUCACCGUCUCUUGAAGCCGAGCCCUAGGCUGAGUACCCAACCUCCCAUGGCCC